rnacentral:rRNA from 1 species
UGGGGAAUUUUGGACAAUGGGCGCAAGCCUGAUCCAGCCAUGCCGCGUGGGUGAAGAAGGCCUUCGGGUUGUAAAGCCCUUUCGGCCGGGAAGAAAACGUGCGGGCGAACAGUCUGCAUGGAUGACGGUACCGGAAGAAGAAGCACCGGCUAACUACGUGCCAGCAGCCGCGGUAAUACGUAGGGUGCGAGCGUUAAUCGGAAUUAUUGGGCGUAAAGCGUGCGCAGGCGGCGCCAUAAGACAGCUGUGAAAUCCCCGGGCUUAACCUGGGAACUGCGGUUUGGACUGUGGUGCUAGAGUACGGCAGAGGGAGGUGGAAUUCCUGGUGUAGCAGUGAAAUGCGUAGAGAUCAGGAGGAACACCGAUGGCGAAGGCAGCCUCCUGGGCUGAUACUGACGCUCAUGCACGAAAGCGUGGGGAGCAAACA